UCGAGAAUCUUCCGCAAUGGACGAAAGUCUGACGGAGCGACGCCGCGUGAAGGAUGAAGGCCUUCGGGUUGUAAACUUCUGUCAAGCGUUAGGAAUAAACGACGUUCAAUAAACGUCGCGAUGACAAAGGCGCUAGAGGAAGCCACGGCUAAAUAUGUGCCAGCAGCCGCGGUAAUACAUAUGUGGCGAGCGUUGUUCGGAAUUACUGGGCAUAAAGAGUUCGUAGGCGGUCCUGUAAGUCGGGUGUGAAAUCCCUCAGCUUACCUGAGGAAUGGCAUUCGAUACUGCAGGACUGGGGUCCCUGAGGGGAAAGUGGAAUUCCAGGUGUAGCGGUGAAAUGCGUAGAUAUCUGGGAGAAGGCCAAUGGCGAAGGCAGCUUUCUGGUGGGUGACCGACGCUGAGGAACGAAAGUCAGGGGAGCAAACGGG
rnacentral:rRNA from 1 species